CCCACGGUUCUUCCCCCAACCCUGCCCAGCUCUGGGGGCCUUUCUCUCAUCUCUCUCCCUUUUGUUGUUGCUGAAAAAUGCUGCUGUUUUUCUCGUGGCUAAGUUAUAUAUGCUCUUAAAAAGUAAUGCCCGGCAUGGAGGCUCACACCUUUAAUCCCAACGCUUUAGGAGGUGGAGGCGGGAGGAUCGCUUGAGCCCAGGAGUUCAAGACCAGCCUGGGUAACAAAGUGAGACCCCAUCUCCAUAAACAAACACAUAAAUAGUAAGAACUUGAUAAAGGUCUGAGAAAGAAAUUAGAGAUCACUGUGAAUCCUUUCCAUGCUGACAUUUUGGCACAUUUUCCCCAGGCUGCGUGAGGCCCAGGCUGAAUGUGCACAUUGGCAUCUUGUUUUCUUUAUUAACAUCAUUUCAGAAGCAUUUUCUGAGAUGAGUACAAACUGAAAACAUUCUUCUGAACACCUGCAUGGAGCCCUCUUUUCACACAUGACCCUGUGAUGGGCCAGCUGGGCUUUGGAUAAAAAAAAGAAAAAAAGGAAAAAAUGAUUAGAGGUGAUCCAGUAGCGCGAUGCUCCUCCCAUCUGAGGCAAAGGAAGAAGAAAUAAUUUAAAAAUGUUCCCAGAGCAAAAACAGCCGUUUUCUAAAGAAUGGCCCCACAAUUGGUUCAAGUUGAAGAGCCUCCCCGAGGAAUAACAGCUUCGUCAUCCAUCUAGUUCAGGCGUUGUUUCUAUAGUAACCUGUGACGUGGUCCCCUUCCCAAAACACAAAACAAAACAAAAAACAGAAACAAAAACAAUGAAUCCCUGAGAACAGUGAGAAAGAAAAAGCUCUUGCUUCCUUUGGCCUACGGAAGGGUGUGGCUGUUGAGCUGAGCCUUGGAGUUCCUGGGUUUGCCGGUUUCCCCCUCUGGCAGUGCUGGGGGCUUUGAGCCAGCAACCUCAAAGAAUGCCCAUGCCAGGGAGGCCAGCAUGCACGCAGGUACCAGCACAUCUGGGCACUUUCUCCAUGGUCCGCUGUCCUAAUCCUGACUAUUUCAGCACCCAGGGAGCAAGCCAAGAACAAAAACACCUAUCAUCCAUGCCCGGCAUUAGAAAAUCUCAUUGUUGGUGAGAAUGAUGGUUUCCAGCUUCAUCCGUGUCCCUACAAAGGACAUGAACUCAUCGUUUUCUAUGGCUGCGUAGUAUUCCAUGGUGUAUAUGUGCCACAUUUUCUUAAUCCAGUCUAUCAUUGAUGGACAUUUGGGUUGGUUUCAAGUCUUUGCUAUUGUGAAUAGUGCUGCAAUAAACAUACGUGAGCAUGUGUCUCUAUGGAA